GACGAACGCUGGCGGCGUGCUUAACACAUGCAAGUCGAACGGAAAGGCCCUGCUUGCCUUGUACUCGAGUGGCGAACGGGUGAGUAACACGUGGGUGAUCUGCCCUGCACUUCGGGAUAAGCCUGGGAAACUGGGUCUCAUACCGGAUAUGACCUUCCAUGUCGGGUGGGGGGUGGAAGGAUUUAGCGGUGUGGGAUGAGGCCGCGGCCUAUCAGCUUGUUGGUGGGGUAAUGGCCUACCAAGGCGUCGACAGGUAGCCGGCCUGAGAGGGUGGACGGCCACAUUGGGACUGGGAUACGGCCCAGACUACUACGGGAGGCAGCGGUGGGGAAGAGUGCACAACGGGCGGGAGCCUUAUGCAGCGACGCGGCGUGGGGGAUGACGGCAUGCUGGUUGGAAUCCUCUUUCGACAGGGACGAAGCGUCGGUGACGGUACCUGUCUAAGAAGCACCGGCUAACUACGUG
rnacentral:rRNA from 1 species